rnacentral:rRNA from 1 species
GAACGGGCAUAGCAAUAUGUCAGUGGCAGACGGGUGAGUAACGCGUGGGAACGUACCUUUUGGUUCGGAACAACACAGGGAAACUUGUGCUAAUACCGGAUAAGCCCUUACGGGGAAAGAUUUAUCGCCGAAAGAUCGGCCCGCGUCUGAUUAGCUAGUUGGUAGGGUAAUGGCCUACCAAGGCGACGAUCAGUAGCUGGUCUGAGAGGAUGAUCAGCCACAUUGGGACUGAGACACGGCCCAAACUCCUACGGGAGGCAGCAGUGGGGAAUAUUGGACAAUGGGCGAAAGCCUGAUCCAGCCAUGCCGCGUGAGUGAUGAAGGCCCUAGGGUUGUAAAGCUCUUUUGUGCGGGAAGAUAAUGACGGUACCGCAAGAAUAAGCCCCGGCUAACUUCGUG